AAACGGAUUUAGAGACAGGAGGCGCAACGGCUCCGCUUCUUUCCGCGGUUCCCAGGCUUUUUCUGUGUUGAGCAAAGCAGCUCUUCUGAACCCGAUCGACCGAGUCUACUGCAGCAGUACAGCGCGCGCUGCACGCAGUGGCAAGUUUAAGUUUUAACAUUUCAUUUCGGAAAAGGUUUGCAAACACUGCAUACAUCUUCGGUGGAUUUAACUGCACGCGGAAAGACGGUGCGAUUUUCUUUUUUCACCUGGGGCUUGAAGAAGACAUCUACACUACCUAUCCAGUUCAGGAAGGACACCCCUUUCAAGUAAGAAUCCUCCUGCUUGCGGGUGCUGGUUCCUGGUGUCCUUAAGCAAUGAUAGAAAUCUCUGUGUGGACACUGAGAGCUCUCAUGCUUCUGGUGCUCAUGUGGCCAAGCUCACUGGAGUGUCAGCACAUUACAGUUCACACGAAGGUUCCUACGAGGCCAGAGUACCAGCCGGACCGUGGAACCAGGGAGGGGGGGGUUUCAGGCUCCUGG